rnacentral:tRNA from 1 species
UCCCUUGUGGCUCAGCUGGUAAGGCAUCCACCUGCAAUGUGGGAGACCUGGGUUCGACCCCUGGAUUGGGAA